CCUACGGGAGGCUGCAGUGAGGAAUAUUGGACAAUGGAUGGAAAUCUGAUCCAGCCAUGCCGCGUGCAGGAAGACGGCCCUAUGGGUUGUAAACUGCUUUUGUAUGGGAGCAAUAAGGUCUAUGCGUAGACUGAUGAGAGUACCAUACGAAUAAGCAUCGGCUAACUCCGUGCCAGCAGCCGCGGUAAUACGGGGGAUGCAAGCGUUAUCCGGAUUUAUUGGGUUUAAAGGGUGCGUAGGCGGUUUGAUAAGUCAGCGGUGAAAUAUUUCAGCUUAACUGAAAGGGUGCCGUUGAUACUGUCAGGCUUGAAUAUGGUUGCUGUGGGUGGAAUGUGUGGUGUAGCGGUGAAAUGCUUAGAUAUCACACAGAAUAUCGAUUGCGAAGGCAGCUCACAAAGCCAUUAUUGACGCUGAUGCACGAAAGUGUGGGGAUCAAACAGGAUUAGAUACCCCUGUAGUC
rnacentral:rRNA from 1 species